rnacentral:rRNA from 1 species
UACGAAGGGGGCUAGCGUUGUUCGGAAUCACUGGGCGUAAAGCGCACGUAGGCGGAUUUGUAAGUCAGGGGUGAAAUCCCGGGGCUCAACCUCGGAACUGCCUUUGAUACUGCGGGUCUCGAGUCCGGAAGAGGUGAGUGGAAUUCCUAGUGUAGAGGUGAAAUUCGUAGAUAUUAGGAAGAACACCAGUGGCGAAGGCGGCUCACUGGUCCGGUACUGACGCUGAGGUGCGAAAGCGUGGGGAGCAAACAGG